AUCCAGACUCCUACGGGAGGCAGCAGUGGGGAAUAUUGCACAAUGGGGGAAACCCUGAUGCAGCGACGCCGCGUGAGUGAAGAAGUAUUUCGGUAUGUAAAGCUCUAUCAGCAGGGAAGAAAAUGACGGUACCUGACUAAGAAGCCCCGGCUAACUACGUGCCAGCAGCCGCGGUAAUACGUAGGGGGCAAGCGUUAUCCGGAUUUACUGGGUGUAAAGGGAGCGUAGGUGGCAUGGUAAGCCAGAAGUGAAAACCCGGGGCUCAACCCCGCGGAUUGCUUUUGGAACUAUCAGGCUGGAGUGCUGGAGGGGUAAGCGGAAUUCCUAGUGUAGCGGUGAAAUGCGUAGAUAUUAGGAGGAACACCGGUGGCGAAGGCGGCUUACUGGACAGAAACUGACACUGAGGCUCGAAAGCGUGGGGAGCAAACAGGAUUAGAUACCCCAGUA
rnacentral:rRNA from 1 species